UUCUUUUAUUAGGGAAGAAUAAAUGAUGGAAAAAUCAUUCUGACGGUACCUAAUGAAUAAGCCCCGGCUAACUAUGUGCCAGCAGCCGCGGUAAUACAUAGGGGGCAAGCGUUAUCCGGAAUUAUUGGGCGUAAAGGGUGCGUAGGCGGUUAAAUAAGUUUAUGGUCUAAGUGCAAUGCUUAACAUUGUGAUGCUAUAAAAACUGUUUAACUAGAGUAAGAUAGAGGCAAGUGGAAUUCCAUGUGUAGUGGUAAAAUGCGUAAAUAUAUGGAGGAACACCAGUAGCGAAGGCGGCUUGCUGGGUCUUUACUGACGCUGAGGCACGAAAAGCGUGGGGAGCAAACAGGAUUAGAUACCCUGGUAGUCCACGCCGUAAACGAUGAGUACUAAAUGUUGGGUAAAACCAAGUGUUGAAGUUAACACAAUUAAAGUACUCCGCCUGAAGUAGUACGUACGCAAAGUAUGAAACUUAAAAGGAAUUGACGGGACUCCGCACAAAGCGGUGGAUCAUGUUGUUUAAUUCGAAGGUACCCGAAAAACCUCACCAGGUCUUGACAUGCUUCUGCAAAGCUGUAGAAACACAGUGGAGGUUAUCAGUUGCACAGGUGGUGCAUGGUUGUCGUCAGCUCGUGUCGUGAGAUGUUGGGUUAAGUCCCGCAACGAGCGCAACCCUUAUUGUUAGUUGCCAGCACGUAAUGGUGGGGACUUUAGCAAGACUGCCAGUGAUAAAUUGGAGGAAGGUGGGGACGACGUCAAAUCAUCAUGCCCCCUUAUGACCUGGGCUACAAACGUG
rnacentral:rRNA from 1 species